AUCCAGCUAAAGAGUCUCAAACGGGACGAAACUUGCGUCCUGAAU
rnacentral:hammerhead_ribozyme from 1 species